rnacentral:rRNA from 1 species
UGGGGAAUAUUGCACAAUGGGCGCAAGCCUGAUGCAGCCAUGCCGCGUGUGUGAAGAAGGCCUUCGGUUGUAAAGCACUUUCAGCGAGGAGGAAGGUGGUGAGCUUAAUACGCUCAUCAAUUGACGUUACUCGCAGAAGAAGCACCGGCUAACUCCGUGCCAGCAGCCGCGGUAAUACGGAGGGUGCAAGCGUUAAUCGGAAUUACUGGGCGUAAAGCGCACGCAGGCGGUUUGUUAAGUCAGAUGUGAAAUCCCCGGGCUCAACCUGGGAACUGCAUUUGAAACUGGCAAGCUAGAGCCUCGUAGAGGGGGGUAGAAUUCCAGGUGUAGCGGUGAAAUGCGUAGAGAUCUGGAGGAAUACCGGUGGCGAAGGCGGCCCCCUGGACGAAGACUGACGCUCAGGUGCGAAAAGCGUGGGGAGCAAAACAGGAUUAGAUACCCUGGUAGUCCACGCUGUAAACGAUGUCGAUUUUGGAGGUUGUGCCCUUGAGGCGUGGCUUCCGGAGCUAACGCGUUAAAUCGACCGCCUGGGGAGUACGGCCGC